GGACCCGCACAAGUAGUGGAGCAUGUGGUUUAAUUCGAAGAUACGCGCAGAACCUUACCAACACUUGACAUGUUCGUCGCGACUUUAAGAGAUUAAAGUUUUCGGUUCGGCCGGACGAAACACAGGUGCUGCAUGGCUGUCGUCAGCUCGUGUCGUGAGAUGUUGGGUUAAGUCCCGCAACGAGCGCAACCCUCACUUUUAGUUGCCAUCAUUUAGUUGGGCACUCUGAAAGAACUGCCAGUGAUAAGCUGGAGGAAGGUGGGGAUGACGUCAAGUCCUCAUGGCCCUUACGUGUUGGGCUACACACGUGCUACAAUGGUAUAUACAACAGGAAGCAAAACGGCGACGUUAAGCAAAUCCUCAAAAGAUACCUCAGUUCGGAUUGCACUCUGCAACUCGAGUGCAUGAAGCUGGAAUUACUAGUAAUCG
rnacentral:rRNA from 1 species